rnacentral:rRNA from 1 species
GAUGAACGCUGGCGGCGUGCUUAACACAUGCAAGUCGAACGAUGAAGCCCAGCUUGCUGGGUGGAUUAGUGGCGAACGGGUGAGUAACACGUGAGUAACCUGCCCUUAACUCUGGGAUAAGCCUGGGAAACUGGGUCUAAUACCGGAUAGGAGCGUCCACCGCAUGGUGGGUGUUGGAAAGAUUUAUCGGUUUUGGAUGGACUCGCGGCCUAUCAGCUUGUUGGUGAGGUAAUGGCUCACCAAGGCGACGACGGGUAGCCGGCCUGAGAGGGUGACCGGCCACACGGGGACUGAGACACGGCCCAGACUCCUACGGGCGGCAGCAGUGGGGAAUAUUGCACAAUGGGCGCAAGCCUGAUGCAGCGACGCCGCGUGAGGGAUGACGGCCUUCGGGUUGUAAACCUCUUUCAGUAGGGAAGAAGCGAAAGUGACGGUACCUGCAGAAGAAGCACCGGCUAACUACGUG